AGUAACCAUGUGGAUGUGCUGCUGAAGCGUUUCCUCAAGCUCGCUGGGGUGGGAGGAGAGGAGGAGGAGGAGGUGGUGGUGGAGGAGGAGGAGGCAGGGGGUGGAGAGAGAGAAAGCGCACGCCGAGAGGAGGUGUGGGUGUUCCGCUUCCAUCCUAACGGAACGAGCUCCCUCUUCGCGGACAUGGGAUUACCCAGCGGCUGCUAACCCCUCUCCUCGCCCUGCUCCCCCAAACCGGCGUGGCUCCCCGGGCACCAAGGAGCUGACUAAAGAGGAGCAGGAUUUGCACCCCUCGCUGGUCUUGUUUUGGCAACAGAGUGCCUGACCCGGGUCAGGAUUUUCAAGAAAGACAUGUCUGACAAAAUGUCUAGCUUCCUACAUAUUGGAGACAUUUGUUCUCUGUACGCGGAGGGAUCGACAAAUGGAUUUAUUAGCACCUUGGGCCUGGUUGAUGAUCGUUGUGUUGUACAGCCAGAAACCGGAGACCUUAACAAUCCACCUAAGAAAUUCAGAGACUGCCUCUUUAAGCUAUGUCCCAUGAACCGCUACUCUGCCCAAAAGCAGUUCUGGAAAGCCGCUAAGCCUGGGGCCAACAGCACAACAGACGCAGUGCUACUCAACAAACUGCACCACGCUGCAGACUUGGAAAAGAAGCAGAAUGAGACAGAAAACAGGAAAUUGCUGGGGACCGUAAUCCAGUAUGGCAAUGUGAUCCAGCUCCUGCAUUUGAAAAGUAAUAAAUACCUAACAGUGAAUAAGAGGCUUCCUGCUCUGUUGGAGAAGAAUGCCAUGAGAGUCACAUUGGACGAGGCUGGAAAUGAAGGGUCCUGGUUUUAUAUUCAGCCAUUCUACAAGCUGCGAUCCAUUGGAGACAGCGUGGUCAUAGGUGACAAGGUUGUUCUGAACCCCGUCAAUGCUGGUCAGCCCCUACAUGCUAGCAGCCAUCAACUGGUAGAUAACCCAGGCUGCAAUGAGGUCAAUUCCGUCAACUGCAAUACAAGCUGGAAAAUAGUCCUUUUCAUGAAAUGGAGUGAUAACAAAGAUGACAUAUUAAAGGGGGGUGACGUGGUGAGGCUGUUUCAUGCUGAGCAGGAGAAGUUUCUCACCUGUGACGAACACAGGAAGAAGCAGCAUGUCUUCCUGAGAACCACGGGCCGGCAGUCGGCCACAUCUGCCACCAGUUCAAAAGCCUUGUGGGAGGUGGAGGUAAGGGUAAGGUGGAGAAAGGGCUCAUGGGUUUAUAGGAUAUAAACCUAUAUAUAGGCUCUCUCUAUAUAUAUUCUACAAAUAUACAUACAUACAUAUACCUAUAUAUGUCUAUACACCUAUAUACACACACCUACACACACACACACACACACACACACACACAGAAUACAUGUGUGUGUAUAUAUAUAAGUCACAAACAGGUACUUAUACCCACCGUGUUCCAAAAAUGGGUUGUGGAUGGCUUAGUGAAGUAAGUGCAUCAUGGCAUAUCAUGGUGCUGGAUAUUUGUGCAAAG
rnacentral:sRNA from 1 species